GGGCUCAUAGCUCAGUUGGUUAGAGCGCUUCAGUGACAUUGAAGAGGUCAUAGGUUCAAAUCCUAUUGAGCCCACCA
rnacentral:tRNA from 1 species